GAAUAAUUUAGAGAAAUUUGAGGGGUUUUUUUAUUUAAGUUUUAGGGGUUUUUUUUGUGACAUCAAUAUCCAAGCGGUAUGUAGUCCACAGUGUCUUACCUCAAGCUGUGCAUUAUGCAUAACCAGUUAUCUCAUCAUUUAAAGUUGUCACUAUUUGAAAAGUUGACCAGAAGUUUGCCUUUCCUCUAGUGAUUUUCACAGCUUUAAGUUUGCCAUUGUCAAUUUUUCUCUUAACGUUCUCCAUUGUACGUGGCUGGAAAUCAUCACUGGCGCUUCUGGACCUCACGCAUUGGAUCUCAUUAAACUUAAAAAAAAAAAAAUUCUCUAGCAGGUCUGAAGCCCGAUAUGCGUGCUAGCUAUGAUGUGAAAAGUUGCCCCCCCAAGGCCGGAACUAGGGGCAUAAAAUAAAA
ensembl:processed_transcript